rnacentral:rRNA from 1 species
AUUGAACGCUGGCGGCAUGCCUUACACAUGCAAGUCGAACGGCAGCACGGGAGCAAUCCUGGUGGCGAGUGGCGAACGGGUGAGUAAUAUAUCGGAACGUGCCCAGUCGUGGGGAUAACGUAGCGAAAGCUACGCUAAUACCGCAUACGAUCUAUGGAUGAAAGCGGGGGAUCGCAAGACCUCGCGCGAUUGGAGCGGCCGAUAUCAGAUUAGGUAGUUGGUGAGGUAAAGGCUCACCAAGCCGACGAUCUGUAGCUGGUCUGAGAGGACGACCAGCCACACUGGGACUGAGACACGGCCCAGACUCCUACGGGAGGCAGCAGUGGGGAAUUUUUGGACAAUGGGCGCAAGCCUGAUCCAGCAAUGCCGCGUGCAGGAUGAAGGCCUGGUGUAACU